rnacentral:rRNA from 1 species
UACAGAGGUGGCAAGCGUGGUUCGGAAUUACUGGGCGUAAAGGGCGAGUAGGUGGCCAUCUAAGUCAGACGUGAAAUCCCCCGGCUUAACCUGGGAACUGCGUCUGAUACUGGACGGCUUGAGUAUGGGAGAGGAACGUAGAAUUCCAGGUGUAGCGGUGAAAUGCGUAGAUAUCUGGAGGAAUACCGGUGGCGAAGGCGGCGUUCUGGACCAUUACUGACACUGAAUCGCGAAAGCUAGGGGAGCAAACGGG